AGAGUUUGAUCCUGGCUCAGGACGAACGCUGGCGGCGUGCUUAACACAUGCAAGUCGAACGAGGUCCAUCCGGUGGCAACACCGGAGAAGACUUAGUGGCGAACGGGUGAGUAACACGUGAGGAACCUGCCCCGAAGACCGGGAUAACAGCGGGAAACCGCUGCUAAUACCGGAUACCCCCACCGGGCCACCUGGCCUGU
rnacentral:rRNA from 1 species